rnacentral:tRNA from 1 species
CGUCGCGUAGCUCAGCGGUAGAGCGCUCCCUCGACGCGGGAGAGGCCGGUGGUUCAACACCACCCGCGACGA